AUAUUACUAAGCGGAGGAAAAGAAUUUAACAAAGAUUACCUUAGUAAGGGCGACUGAACCGGUAAAAGCUCGAAAUUGGAAUCGGAGAUUCAAUGAAUCUUCGAAUUGUAAUCAGGUCCGCCUAAAUACAAGAAUUCAUCUAAGUAUGUCGAAACAUACGCCAGAGAGGGUGAAAGCCCCGUGUGAUGUUUUCUUGCUUAAGGGGGAUUCAACAAGAGUCGGGUUGCUUGGAACUGCAGCCCUAAGUGGGAGAUAUGAAUCUUCCAAAGCUAAAUAUGGAUGGGAGACCGAUAGCGCACAAGUA
rnacentral:rRNA from 1 species